CAGCCAUCUUAGAGAAGAGCCAGUGUCUGGCAGUGAGGAGAAGUGAUGUGAUAUUUACCCGGUCCUGACUACUGUUCCCAGUGACUUAGGGGAGAGUUGCUGUGUGUCUUCUCGCAGCGAGCAGCAGCUUCUGUCAGGCGCUGAAUGGGGGCGGAGUAGCAACAGGGAUCCCUUUGCAGUGUGGCUGGAGGGCGGUGACAUGACUCCCCACCCACUAAUAAGAUGACAUGAGAGGCGGCCCGAAAAGAGGUGUCUGACUAGUGUAGGUUAAAGAGUGACUUGGAAAUUCAGCAUUACCUCUGGUGCGGGCCUCAAACCUGGGUGGUUUUUUGCGCAGGUGAGGGGUUUAAACUGGUACUGGUGCAACUUGUUGCCUCAGCGAGCCAGCUAACAAUUUGUGUCCUAAAUUACAUAAUGUUUUGGUUCAUGUCCCUAAGAACAUUGGUUUGAACUUGGAACGUUAAUAAAAAAAACUUUCCUGAAAACUAAAA